UCACUUACCUGGCAGAGGAGAUACCAUGAUCACAAAGGUGGUUUUCCCAGGGCGAGGCUUAUCCAGUGCACUCCGGAUUGCUGACCCCAUGACUUCCCCAAAUGCAGGAAACUCAACUGCGUAAUUUGUGGUAAUGGGGGGACUGCGUUCACGCUUUCCCCUG